AGCCCUACGGGGCGCAGCAGUGGGGGAUAUUGCACAAUGGGGGAAACCCUGAUGCAGCGACGCCGCGUGGACGAAGAAGUAUUUCGGUAUGUAAAGUCCUAUCAGCAGGGAAGAAGAAAUGACGGUACCUGACUAAGAAGCCCCGGCUAACUACGUGCCAGCAGCCGCGGUAAUACGUAGGGGGCAAGCGUUAUCCGGAUUUACUGGGUGUAAAGGGAGCGUAGACGGCGGAACAAGUCAGAAGUGAAAACCCGGGGCUCAACCCUGGGAGUGCUUUUGAAACUGUUUGGCUGGAGUGCAGGAGG
rnacentral:rRNA from 1 species